CUCUCCUGCUGCUCUUCUUACCUCUCCCAGCGUUCUUUCAGUGAUUCUCUCUCUGGCUCUUCUCCCCAAUCACUCUGUUUAUGUUCCCCAAGUCCUUGGUCCCCUAUUGUUCUCAAUCUAUACUGCCUACCUUAGCAAAUUUACCUGUCAUCCCCUAAUUUCCUCACCACCCCUCUUGACUCGUGUCUCUGACAUUCCAGACACCAACUGAAUGGCUG